ensembl:lncRNA
GUGCACAAGGUGAUGCUGGCUGCCGCACGGCGACACGCACCGCUCGUCUCCUUGAGAAGUCACUCCCAGCCUGAUCCCAAAAGAUUCCUCAGAACGCAAGCUGGGAGCCAGCAAGAAAAGAAGGCUCCCCACUUUCCUUCACAGCAACUUCAUGGGCACCCCAUGGGCUCCCUGCUCUCACUCUGCUUACCCCAUCGUGCCCCCGUGCUCACACCUUUGUCAUCCCGUUCGCACCCCAUGUUCCCCCAUAUUGCCCCUCCUCAGGUCCCAUAUUGCCCCUCCGGCCCCAUGUUACCCCUCAGAUCCCAUAUUGCCCCUCCUCAGAUCCCAUAUUGCCCCUCAGAUCCCAUAUUACCCCCCCUCAGGUCCCAUAUUGCCCCUCCUCAGGUCCCAUAUUGCCCCUCAGAUCCCAUAUUGCCCCUCAGAUCCCAUAUUACCCCUCCUCAGGUCCCAUAUUACCCCUCCUCAGGU